rnacentral:rRNA from 1 species
GACGAACGCUGGCGGCGUGCUUAACACAUGCAAGUCGAACGGAAAGGCCCUGCUUUUGUGGGGUGCUCGAGUGGCGAACGGGUGAGUAACACGUGAGUAACCUGCCCUUGUCUUUGGGAUAACUUCAGGAAACUGGGGCUAAUACCGGAUAGGAGCUCCUGCUGCAUGGUGGGGGUUGGAAAGUUUCGGCGGUUGGGGAUGGACUCGCGGCUUAUCAGCUUGUUGGUUGGGUAGUGGCUUACCAAGGCUUUGACGGGUCGCCGGCCCGAGAGGGUGACCGGCCACAUUGGGACUGCGAUACGGCCCAGUCUCCUACGGGAGACAGCGGUGGGGAAUAUUGCACAGUGGGCGCAAGCCUGAUGCAGCAACGCCGCGUGCGUGAUGACGUCCUUCUGGUUGUAAACCGCUUUCGCCUGUGACGAAGCGUUAGUGACGGUAAUGGGUAAAGAAGCACCGGCUAACUACGUG